rnacentral:rRNA from 1 species
UACGGAGGAUGCGAGCGUUAUCCGGAUUUAUUGGGUUUAAAGGGUGCGUAGGCGGCUGGUUAAGCGGGAGGUGAAAUGCCGGCGCUCAAUGUCGGAAGUGCCUCCCGAACUGGCGAGCUGGAAUGCCCCUGCCGUGGAGGAAUGUGUGGUGUAGCGGUGAAAUGCUUAGAGAUCACACAGAACACCGAUUGCGAGGGCAUCUCACGAAGGGGUGAUUGACGCUGAGGCACGAAAGCGUGGGGAUCAAACA